UGGCGCGCGCGCUCAGGGGGGUGGGCGGGGUUACCUGCUCCAAGGUGUGCCGGGCGGGGUGCGGGGAAGAUCUUGAGGGCAGAGCUGGGGGGUCUGGGGAGCGGUGAGGGAGAGCGCGGGGGGCACGGGCGGGAUUUGGGCUGCCGGGAGCGCGGCUGGAAGCGACUGGGGCGGCGUGAGGGGAGCGGCCGAGGGGGCGGCCGUGGCCCUGGGGCGGGCGGGGAAGCCUGCAGGAGGAGGCGGCCGCAGCAGCAGGAGCGGCGAGGGGCGGGCAGCCGGGCGGAAGUGUGGGGGUUUUUCUUUUUUUUUUUUUUUCUUCCUCCGAGGGUUUUUCACUACCUACUUUGGUGCGAUCUCGGGCGGGCGGUGCUGAUUGGCUCGGGCUGCUGCGGCAGAGCCCGGCGCUCCCCGCCGGCAGCCGCGGGUCCCGGAUCCCGGCGCUGCUCCGUGCCGGAACAACGAGCAGCUUGUCCUCGGAACAAAGGCGGCCCUGACAAAACGCUGCUGCCGAGGCCGGGGCGCUCCGAGAAUUUGCUCUUCCAUGUUCAUGGCAGGUCCCUUGGAGGCACUAGAUAUGCCAGGAGUGUCCAGACUGUGGGUCUGCUGGUCUUCAGGCACAGAGCAGUGGUGGCACCCAGCUCAGAACCAGAUGUCAAGGUGGGCAUUAAAGAGAAAACCCUGUAUGUGAGCUGUUUGUGUGAGGUGGAGUGGUUUGGUUCCUCCAGAUCCCCUGAGACCCAAACUGUUUAAGGGCUGCUGGACACUUGAUUGGGACUGUUACCUAAGAAGGCAGUGCUAAAAUCAGGUAGGAAAAAGUGGAGGCCUCUUGUUUUGAGAAAAUAAUGUCAAUCCAAGCUCUUUUUCACCCAAAUUCCAUUGGAUUUUGUUUGGGUCUUGCUUCUGGUUUGGGGUGUCAUGAAACCUGGAUGGGUGACAGUAAUCUGGUUGCUGUUGAUUUUGUCAUUAAUCAAACACAGGUACCUCCUGGCCUGAGAAUGUGUGUCCCAGCACAGCUUGCAUGCCUGGUCUGGAGAAAGGGAUAGCAGGUUUGUGAGGAGGAGCUGGGAGUUGUGCUGGGCUCUGAAACAGGCAUCCAUGCACUAGACACCAUCGUGUUCAGUGUUCAGGUCUGACUGGUCUCAGUGCACUGGGAGGGGGCAGCAUAGGACUGUGUUCCUGUUAUACCAAGGGUUCCAUGUGAGCAGGGAAAAGCAUGGCGCCACUGAAAGUCCCAUCUCUGCAAAUUCACGUUUUGCCACGAGGGAGCUCCCAUUCCUCAUACCAGUACUAUGGUGAGAAAACAGAGUCCAACAUGGCCAAAAAAAAAAAAAAAAAAAAAAAAAAAUCCCCCAGUCUCCACCGGAUCCCAGCAAUUGUGUAAGGGCUGGACUCUGUAGUGCUUGCUCUGGCUUUAAAAAAUAUUAUUUUAGUGUUUGGAUGGGUUUUGCUCUUUCAUUGAAGGUUUCUUAGGAAUGGGAGAACAUUGAGGAUGGGAAUAUUGAAGCUGGCUAAUGACAGAAAACACAGUGAGCAGGUGGAAAUGUGGUGACAGCAAUGCAUUUUUCCCUCACUCUGGUGGUUUUGGACAGUCUUGGUAGAAUAGCAGAGCUGGAGAGGGUCUGCCUGCAGCCAUGCCCUUGCUGCUAGUUGACCUACAGAGAAGAACGUGGCACAUGUGUUUUGAGAAAGAGUGUUGACACAUGCAGUAGGUUUAGUUUGGUACUAAUUCGAGUUUUUAGUCACCAGUGAUAUGACUUUUUCUGGUUGAUUACAGGGUUGAAGCAUUUACUCCCCCAGACUAUGUAAUUCUGACCUUUUCCAUCUAUUCUCCUACCUUCCAAUGCCUGGUUUCUUUCCUGCUCUUAUCUGGCACUUUCACAAACACAUUUUUCAACCUCCCACAUCCCUACAUUGCUGAGGAGACAAGUCUUUCCCACUUGGAGGAAAAGAUAAUUGGUAUAGUUGAAACAUGAUCGGUAUAAUUGAAUGAUGAUUAAUUAAUUAAUAAUUGGUGAAAAAUUAGUAGUCAGAAUACUACAGUCAGUUUGGAAAAAUGCUCCCUUUUUGAGGGUUGGUGUGAUUGAUGUGAGGUUAGGUGUGGCAGAGUAAUGUGUUCUCUGUGUUCCUGCUAGUUGUAUUAGUAUUAGACCACAGCAAGGGACAUCCGAGUUUGUAACCAGAAAAAUGUUUCCAAGGAUGAGGAUAGCAAAGCAGUAGACCAAAUUACUGGGGCAAGAAAUUAUUGUCCUUUCUUGGAGGUUCUUAAAAAGCAGCAUUAAAAAAUGGCAUAAUUCCUGUCCCUGUCCUCAGAUAGUCUGUCACAGGACAUCCUCAGCAAAGGUUUCUGUAGCACACAGACAGAAGGGUGGAAGGACAUCUCUAGAGAUCUGCCUGGCAAUUCUCCUCAUCUCAGGCCUAGACUCUUUCCUGUCAUGGAUCCACAAAGGCUGUGUGCACUGUCUGUUGGAAACUGAGUCACAUCAUAUCAGGGAAGAGAAAAAAGUCCUUCAAAAUCCAAGCAGUUCCCAGGAGAACAAUUUUUUCUCCAGGAAAACAAAGACACAGCUCUGGCACUUUUCAGUCCAGUGUGACUUCCUUCUGACUCUGGUUGGAGUUUGCUGUCCAGGGGAGACAGGGGGAAAUGUUUCAAUUUAGGGUGAGUUUAGGAGUGUAUGUUGGAAGACCAGCAUAUGCUGGCAUGCAUCUGUGUGGGAACAUCUAUGGGCAAAAAAGCUAAAGCUCUUUUAAGUGGAAGGACUUGCUUCAUCAUUUAUUUACAUGCUUCAACACUUGCAUUUUGGUGAGGGCUCAAAUAUUUUGUGUAUUAGCCCGAACAAACACAGCAGAGGGCUCUUCUAAACUGUUGAUGAAAUCAUUGAGGGCGUUUGUGGCUACCUGUGAUUUUCUACUUUUUUGAGUUUCCUUUGAGAUGUGAACCUAAAAUCUGGCACUCAUGGGCCCCAUGCGACUUUGUGCUGUUCUUGGGAGCACUGCUUCUCUAUAAAACAAUGUCUUGAUCCAUACAAGUACAGAUGUUUGUUUGUUUGUCUAUGGCAGGUGUAGUAUCAAUGAUAUGUCCUUGUUGAGCUAUCCAAGUAAUGCUUUAAUGGCAAUUCUUUAAAGAAGUUAAAAAUAGUCCAUUGUAGUACACUGGUUCAGCAAAUACUGCAAUAAAACUUUUGGAAUAGAGACUGAAUGACAGAAAUAAGUGAGUUAUGUGUGGAGGGGAAAUGAAAAGCAUUUUUUUAUGGCAUGUUGCAGUGGUUACUAAACUUUACAGCUUUCUCAGCAGUCUCAGGAUGUUGUAUUUUUUUUCCUUAAAAGCUGCUGGAAGAAGACAUUGCAUAAGAAUUUCCAUUUUCUAAUUAAAAAAAAAAAAUCUCUCAUGGUUGCUUAAAAAACAUGAAAACAUGAGCUGAAUGUUCCAGAUAGGAUGUUGAAAUCAAAACCAAACAGGAUGGAAAUCUUGGUUCAUAGAUUUAUACUCCAGCCAGCAAACAAACAGCCUUAGAUUGGCUUAGAAAUUCUGCAGUUUGGAAAUGUAUCAAUGUCUGAAUUUUGGGACCUGACUGCAGGCAUGAGGGCACA
ensembl:lncRNA